rnacentral:rRNA from 1 species
AGCGAACGCUGGCGGCAGGCCUAACACAUGCAAGUCGAACGAACCUUUCGGGGUUAGUGGCGGACGGGUGAGUAACACGUGGGAACGUGCCUUUAGGUUCGGAAUAACUCAGGGACACUUGUGCUAAUACCGAAUGUGCCCUUCGGGGGAAAGAUUUAUCGCCUUUAGAGCGGCCCGCGUCUGAUUAGCUAGUUGGUUGAGGUAAUGGCUCACCAAGGCGACGAUCAGUAGCUGGUAUGAGAGGAUGAUCAGCCACAUUGGGACUGAGACACGGCCCAAACUCCUACGGGAGGCAGCAGUGGGGAAUCUUGCGCAAUGGGCGAAAGCCUGACGCAGCCAUGCCGCGUGAAUGAUGAAGGUCUUAGGAUUGUAAAAUUCUUUCACCGGUGACGAUAAUGACGGUACCCGGAGAAGAAGCCCCGGCUAACUUCGUG